rnacentral:lncRNA from 1 species
CUUCUGAUUAAAAAGAUUACCUUAUCUCCACUAGGAAAUGGGAUUUUAGGAACCUUUUAAAAAAAGUUUCAUGAAACUUGAUACUGUAGUUGUAUUGGUAUCUCAAAGGAGGGGAAAGUACUGGGAGCAGGACUUCUUUGAAAUGCCACAAGAUGGCCACUAGAUGAUGCAAAAUGCAACCAAAAGAUUGACAGAGAAUAAAGUGGCAAGAAUUUUUAAAGAAUAACCCUAUAAAAUGUGGGUGGGUCUUUUCGGGCUUAAUCGUUUUUGUUUUCUUUUUUUAAUUUAGUCAAUUUUUACAUCUUAAAUUUUGUUCUUACAGCAUGGAAGAAUCAGAUUAGAAAAUCAUUUGUUUAUCUCUGAGUUAUACUAAUUAACAGUGCGAAAACAUUCUAUUCUUUAAAAUCUUGUAAAAAUAAAGAACUGGAUCAAGGACAUGUCUUUAAACAGUGGAUUGGAUCUGUAGAGGUAAUUACAAUUAUUUUUUUGACUUGGUAGCUUGACUA